rnacentral:rRNA from 1 species
AGAGUUUGAUCCUGGCUCAGGACGAACGCUGGCGGCGCGUCUAAGACAUGCAAGUCGUACGAUUAAGACCCCCUUCGGGGGGUAUAUAAAGUGGCGGACGGGUGAGUAACACGUAGCUAACCUGCCCUACGGCCUGGAAUAACGGUGCGAAAGCGCCGCUAAUACUGGAUACGCCAUCGGGUCUUCCCGGCUCGAUGUGAAAGUGGGCCUUAAAACCCACGCCGAAGGAGGGGGCUGCGGCCUAUUAGCUAGUUGGUGAGGUAAUGGCCCACCAAGGCUACGAUGGGUAGCUGAUCUGAGAGGAUGAUCAGCCACACUGGGACUGAGACACGGCCCAGACUCCUACGGGAGGCAGCAGUUAAGAAUCUUGCACAAUGGGCGAAAGCCUGAUGCAGCGACGCCGCGUGAGCGAUGAAGGCCUUCGGGUUGUAAAGCUCUUUUCUGGGAGAAGAAACGGAUGGUUAAUAGCCAUCAACUGACUGUACCCCAGGAAUAAGCCUCGGCUAAUUACGUGCCAGCAGCCGCGGUAAUACGUAAGAGGCUAGCGUUGUCCGGAAUCACUGGGCGUAAAGCGCGUGUAGGUGGCUUGAUAAGUCGGAUGUGAAAUCCCCGGGCUCAACCCGGGAACUGCGUCCGAAACUGUCUGGCUGGAGAACAGGAGAGGAGAGUGGAAUUCCGGGUGUAGCGGUGAAAUGCGUAGAUAUCCGGAGGAACACCAGUGGCGAAGGCGGCUCUCUGGCCUGUUUCUGACACUGAGACGCGAAAGCGUGGGGAGCGAACGGGAUUAGAUACCCUGGUAGUCC